UAAAUACCCAUUCUUGAUUUUGUGGAGGAAAAAAGAUAGAUAUGGUGAAGAAACAACGCUUGUUGAUUGCUUUAGCAUGGCUGCUAGUGGUGGCAUCGAUUGCCAUUUCUGCAAAUGCAACAGCUGCCCCUCGCCUGCGGGCAUCUGAAGAUGUGGUUCAUCCCCAAGGUUGUCGCUGCUGCUUUUUCGUGGGUAGGGUUCCAAAUCUCCGUUGUGGAAAAGUCUGUUGUGGGGACGAUUGUUGCUUCUGAUGAAUCAAUGGGAGUAAUUAUGUAAUUCAUCAAAUAUAAAAAUAUGAAAGUAUAUUGUUAUAUUUUGAUAUCAUGAAUAAGAAGCUCUUUACAGUUUUUAUGCUUU